UACUGUAAACGAUGACUGUUAAAAAAAAAAACAUUGGUAAUCUCUCUGAAAAAUAAUUAAUGAAAUGUUUUUACUGAUGCCAGUC